rnacentral:rRNA from 1 species
AUUGAACGCUGGCGGCAGGCCUAACACAGGCAAGUAGAACGAGUGGCGGACGGGUGAGUAAUGUCGGGGAAACUGCCCGAAGGAGGGGGAUAACUACUGGAAACGGUAGCUAAUACCGCAUACCAUCGGAUGGGAACAGAUGGGAUUAGCUAGUAGGUGGGGUAACGGCUCACCUAGGGGACUAUCCCUAGCUGGCCUGAGAGGAUGACAAGCCCCCCUGGAACGUCGACACGGUCCAGACUCCUACGUGAGGCAGCAGUUGGCAAUAUUGCACUAUGGGCGCAAGCCUGAUGCCGCCAUGCCGCGUGUAUGAAGAAGGCCUUCGGGUUGUAAAGUACUUUCAGCGAGGAGGCGUUACUCGCAGAAGAAGCCCCGGCUAACUCCGUGCCAGCAGCCGCGGUAAUAC